GAUGAACGCUGGCGGCGUGCUUAACACAUGCAAGUCGAACGAAGCACUUUAUUUGAUUUCCUUCGGGACUGAUUAUUUUGUGACUGAGUGGCGGACGGGUGAGUAACGCGUGGGUAACCUGCCUUGUACAGGGGGAUAACAGUUGGAAACGGCUGCUAAUACCGCAUAAGCGCACAGCAUCGCAUGAUGCAGUGUGAAAAACUCCGGUGGUAUAAGAUGGACCCGCGUUGGAUUAGCUAGUUGGUGAGGUAACGGCCCACCAAGGCGACGAUCCAUAGCCGACCUGAGAGGGUGACCGGCCACAUUGGGACUGAGACACGGCCCAAACUCCUACGGUAGGCAGCAGUGGGGAAUAUUGCACAAUGGGCGAAAGCCUGAUGCAGCGACGCCGCGUGAGCGAAGAAGUAUUUCGGUAUGUAAAGCUCUAUCAGCAGGGAAGAUAAUGACGGUACCUGACUAAGAAGCACCGGCUAAAUACGUG
rnacentral:rRNA from 1 species